rnacentral:misc_RNA from 1 species
AAGUCGUAACAAGGUUUCCGUAGGUGAACCUGCGGAAGGAUCAUUACCAAUCAGGCUGUCUAGGCUGCGAAGCCCUGACGCUUUCAACCCAUUGUGAACCAAAAAACCUUUCGCUUCGGCAGCAGCCCGGUUGGAAACACCCGGGCGUCAGCCUGCCGCUAGCACAAACCAAAAAACUUGCAGAAAACCUCUGUCUGAUAACCAAAUUUUCGAAUGAAAAUUAAAACUUUCAACAACGGAUCUCUUGGUUCCC